AUCCAACUUGCGAAAUACCUACCCAUUAAAACGUCACAAUGAAGCUCGAAUUCUGUUAAGCAACCAAGUGGAUUGGAUAUCAAUACCACAUAAGACAACCAACCUCCAUGGACCAAUUGUUGAUAAAGUGUGCUUGGGGGUCGUUCGAAAAUGCCUUGCUCUUUUCCAAAAUGGCAUAUUUGACCCCUAAUUUGGUGAGAAAUAUAGAGAGAACGGGACCGACAGGUCCUGCACCAACGAUCAAAACAGGAAGUACUGAAUCAUUAGCAUCGAAGUUUUGGGAAUGCAAUAAUGCUCUGCUUUGAAUGUGAUACCCAAAUGGGUAUGGUUUGAUUCUG
rnacentral:misc_RNA from 1 species